rnacentral:rRNA from 1 species
AGUGAACGCUGGCGGUAGGCCUAACACAUGCAAGUCGAACGGCAGCACAGUAAGAGCUUGCUCUUACGGGUGGCGAGUGGCGGACGGGUGAGGAAUACAUCGGAAUCUACUUUUUCGUGGGGGAUAACGUAGGGAAACUUACGCUAAUACCGCAUACGACCUACGGGUGAAAGCAGGGGAUCUUCGGACCUUGCGCGAUUGAAUGAGCCGAUGUCGGAUUAGCUAGUUGGCGGGGUAAAGGCCCACCAAGGCGACGAUCCGUAGCUGGCCUGAGAGGAUGACCAGCCAAACUGGAAUUGAGACACGGCCCAGACUCCUACGGGAGGCAGCGUUGGGGAAUAUUGGACAAUGGGGGCAAGCCUGACCCAGCCAUCCCGCGUGGGUGAAGAAGUCCUCCGGGUUGUAAAGCCCUUUUGUUGGGAAAGAAAGGCGGAAGGUUAAUACCCCGCUGUUCUGACGGUCCCCAAAGAAUAAGCACCGGCUAACUUCGU